CAAUGUAGUUGUUUACAAAGUCCAAGCUCUAGUUGAAGAACACCAACAGCUUAAAAGGAAACUAGCUGCUCACGGCAUAAUAAUGUCCACUUAGAUCCUAGACCUCUGAAAAGCUCUAAUAUCUGCCAUUAAGGAAGGGGACUGGCUAAUGGACAAAGCCCAUUGCUUACUCAGGCCUUAACAUUUCACAGCAGACACCCCGAGAGAUGCAGGGGUGAAAUUCCACUACUUCAAAGUCAAAGAUGCCAAGCUGGUGACAGCGAGAAAGCUGUAGGAAUUGGCAGAACCUUACCAAGACAUUCAACUCUUCGCAGAUCUCUCAGCUCUCCUGUGCGUGAUUCCAACUGUUCGCAGAUCUCUCAGCCCUCACAAUGGGGAGACGUAGAG